AUUGAACGCUGGCGGCAUGCCUUACACAUGCAAGUCGAACGGCAGCACGGACUUCGGUCUGGUGGCGAGUGGCGAACGGGUGAGUAAUGUAUCGGAACGUACCUUUCAGUGGGGGAUAACGUAGCGAAAGUUACGCUAAUACCGCAUAUUCUGUGAGCAGGAAAGCAGGGGAUCGCAAGACCUUGCGCUGAUUGAGCGGCCGAUAUCAGAUUAGCUAGUUGGUGGGGUAAAGGCCUACCAAGGCUACGAUCUGUAGCGGGUCUGAGAGGAUGAUCCGCCACACUGGAACUGAGACACGGUCCAGACUCCUACGGGAGGCAGCAGUGGGGAAUUUUGGACAAUGGGGGCAACCCUGAUCCAGCCAUGCCGCGUGAGUGAAGAAGGCCUUCGGGUUGUAAAGCUCUUUCGGCCGGGAAGAAAUCGCAUAGGUUAAUACCCUGUGUGGAUGACGGUGCCGGAAUAAGAAGCACCGGCUAACUACGUGCCAGCAGCCGCGGUAAUACGUAGGGUGCGAGCGUUAAUCGGAAUUACUGGGCGUAAAGCGUGCGCAGGCGGCUCUAUAAGACAGAUGUGAAAUCCCCGGGCUCAACCUGGGAACUGCGUUUGUGACUGUAGGGCUCGAGUGCGGCAGAGGGGGGUGGAAUUCCACGUGUAGCAGUGAAAUGCGUAGAGAUGUGGAGGAACACCGAUGGCGAAGGCAGCCCCCUGGGUCGACACUGACGCUCAUGCACGAAAGCGUGGGUAGCAAACAGGAUUAGAUACCCUGGUAGUCCACGCCCUAAACGAUGCCAACUAGGUGUUGGGGAAG
rnacentral:rRNA from 1 species